GACGAGCCUGACAAACGUUAUUCGGAAUCACUGGGCUUAAAGGGUGCGUAGGCGGUGUGGAAAGUCGGGUGUGAAAUCCCCCAGCUCAACUGGGGAACUGCACUCGAUACUUCCAUGCUAGAGUAAGACAGAGGUAAGUGGAACUGAGGGUGGAGCGGUGAAAUGCGUUGAUAUCCUCAGGAACACCGGUGGCGAAGGCGACUUACUGGGUCUUUACUGACGCUGAUGCACGAAAGCUAGGGUAGCAAACGGG
rnacentral:rRNA from 1 species